UACGGAGGGAGCUAGCGUUGUUCGGAAUUACUGGGCGUAAAGCGCGCGUAGGCGGCUUUGCAAGUCAGGUGUGAAAUCCCCAGGCUUAACCUGGGAACUGCAUUCGAGACUGCAUUGCUAGAGUAUGGGAGAGGGAAGUGGAAUUUCCGGUGUAGCGGUGAAAUGCGUAGAUAUCGGAAGGAACAUCAGUGGCGAAAGCGACUUCCUGGACCAAUACUGACGCUCAUGUGCGAAAGCGUGGGGAGCAAACAGG
rnacentral:rRNA from 1 species